GACGAACGCUGGCGGCGUGCUUAACACAUGCCAGUCGAACGGAAAGGCCCUGCUUUUGUGGGGUGCUCGAGUGGCGAACGGGUGAGUAACACGUGAGUAACCUGCCCUUGACUUUGGGAUAACUUCAGGAAACUGGGGCUAAUACCGGAUAGGAGCUCCUGCUGCAUGGUGGGGGUUGGAAAGUUUCGGCGGUUGGGGAUGGACUCGCGGCUUAUCAGCUUGUUGGUGGGGUAGUGGCUUACCAAGGCUUUGACGGGUAGCCGGCCUGAGAGGGUGACCGGCCACAUUGGGACUGAGAUACGGCCCAGACUCCAACGGGAGGCAGCAGUGGGGAAUAGUGCACAAUGGGCGGAAGCCUGAUGAAGCAACGCCGCGUGCGGGAUGACGGCCUUCGGGUUGUAAACCGAUUUCGCCUGUGACGAAGCGUGAGCGACGGUAAUGGGUAAAGAAGCACCGGCUAACUACGUG
rnacentral:rRNA from 1 species